rnacentral:misc_RNA from 1 species
GAGGCAAAGGAUCUCAUUUGUAGGUUACUGUGCGAUGUUGAUCAUAGACUAGGUACUGGAGGAGCGCACCAAAUUAAAGCUCAUCCUUGGUUCAAGGACAUUUUAUGGGAUAAACUAUAUGAAAUGGAAGCAGCAUUUAAACCAGAAGUCAAUGGGGAGCUAGACACCCAGAACUUUAUGAAAUUUGAUGAAAUGGAUCCUCCACCAGCAAGAACUGGCUCUGGACCAUCAAGGAAGAUGCUAUUAACUCCCAAAGAUUUAAGUUUUGUUGGCUAUACAUACAAGAAUUUUGAUGCUGUCAAAGGGCUGCAUUCUUUUGAUCUCAAAGGAAGUAUGUCACCAAAACGGCCAUCCAUUGAUUCUAUAGGUGGUUCCGGGGCAGAUUAUCCUACAAAACGGCCUGGCGAGGAAACAGAGGUGCAAAUGCUUGCAUCAUCAGGUGAUCCCAUGCUACCAUAAUAUAACAAAACCACUAUCCUAUAAUGUGGAUGGUUACGCAUCCCAUUUUGAGUUGGGCAUUUCUCCAAAAUCCAUAACUUCUAUGGGUUGGCUGCCAUACAACUUGCAUGCAGAACCACGCUCAAGUGUACAGCAGUAACUGAGAAACUUCUUUAAAGCCCUCUGAGGUUAACCUUUAGGACAAGUGAGAUUUUUAUUUUAUAGCUGAAGAGGUAUUGUGUAUUAGAUAUAGAGCAAACCUGUGAAACUUGUGCCCUGGCUGCCCAGGUUGGCUGUGGUAAAACAUGCCUUCUNGUAAAACAUGCCUUCUCUAGCGGCAGUUUCUGGUCAAAUUUUAAUGGAAAGCAAACUACUAAGAAACUCAAUAGCUAUUUUAAUGAAUUAUUCCCCAUUAACGGUUUUGUGUGUA